GCCAGUGCCACAGCUCAAAAAGAGAGCUGGGUUCUCCUUUUCUGCCUCUCUAGGCCCUUGCCUGACCCAUGGGACCCUAACUUACAUUCCCAAAAUUCUCCAUUUAGGGUUUGUUUACAGCUGGCUGUGCUGUGCCCUGCAUCAGCCUCCAGAGAGCCUGUGUCAUGGGACAGGAGACCUUUCAGCUGGAGAAGUCAGCCACUGUUCAAGGCUGGCCCAGAUUCUGAGGCUUUCAUCUGGAGAGCUUCCUCACUGAUUUUCAGCCUUGCCUGUGUGAAUUUGUGUCUCCAGACCAGACUGGGAAUGUCAGAGCUGGAGAAUCAUCUGGUUCUUACUGGAAACAAGAGCACCCACUGGGAGCUGUUCUACCAGCCUUGUGGAAGCACAAGUCAAAUUCACUUCUGAAGAACAUGACACUCCAAAAGUGGGAAAGCACCAUAGCCUGUCCCAUUCUGCUGCGGGUGACCUUCUGAGUCUCGAUGUGGAAACUCCCAUAAAAGAAGCAAUGGAGCAUUCUGGGAUACUUCUGCCUGGAAAAUGAAUGAUUUGAGGGGAAAGGUGUCAGCUCAUAGUUUAUGUUGGACACAGUGGUGGACUGGGUGGAUCCUUGCUGUGGACUCCUAUGGUUGCUGUAGGAGUUCUGAGACACUUAAACCUGGAGACAAUAUUAUUAAUUUUUUUAGUCCUGCAAAAGAAGCAUCAGCACAACUAGAGCUUCCUAGAACAUCCCAAGGAUGACUGAUCUCCUUAGAAAGGGUAUUCCUAAAUUAUCUGCAGUCUCAGUGAUUAUUUCCUUAAUGCCCUCCCUGAUCAUAUAAGCAGUAAAUGGGAA